CGGUUCGAGUAAGUGAUAUUUCGGAACAGAAUCUAGUUCCUUCGAUACCAAUGUAAUCUAGUAAUAUGAAUUUUUUUUAUGAUUUUUAUUUAGAAUACAUUGGUAUUGAAGGAACUAGAUUCUGUUCCGAAAUAUCACUUACUCGAACC